rnacentral:rRNA from 1 species
UAGCAAUAUAAGUAUUAAAGGUCCUGCCUGCCCAGUGAAACUAUUUAAACGGCCGCGGUAUUCUAACCGUGCAAAGGUAGCGUAAUCACUUGUCUUCUAAAUAAAGACCAGUAUGAACGGCUAAAUGAGGACAAACCUGUCUCCUACACCCCAUCAGUGAAACUGAUCUCCCAGUCCAAAAGCUGGGAUGUAACCAUAAGACGAGAAGACCCUGUGGAGCUUAAAAUCCACAUAUUACCGCACACAAUUAAUAUGUGAUUUUGAGUUGGGGCGACUUCGGAACAAAACAAAACUUCCGAGCACAGAACCACAACCUCUUACCAAGACACACAAGCCAAAGAAUAAAAAGACCCAGUCACACUGAUCAACGAACCAAGUUACCCCAGGGAUAACAGCGCCAUCUUCUUCGAGAGUUCAUAUCGACAAGAAGGUUUACGACCUCGAUGUUGGAUCAGGGCACCCAAAUGGUGCAACCGCUAUUAAAGGUUCGUUUGUUCAACGAUUA